ACUGAACGCUGGCGGCAUGCCUUACACAUGCAAGUCGAACGGCAGCACGGGUACUUGUACCUGGUGGCGAGUGGCGAACGGGUGAGUAAUACAUCGGAACGUACCUUAUCGUGGGGGAUAACGCAGCGAAAGCUGUGCUAAUACCGCAUACGCCCUUAGGGGGAAAGCGGGGGAUCGCAAGACCUCGCGCGAUUAGAGCGGCCGAUGCCUGAUUAGCUUGUUGGUGGGGUAAAAGCCCACCAAGGCGACGAUCAGUAGCUGGUCUGAGAGGACGAUCAGCCACACUGGGACUGAGACACGGCCCAGACUCCUACGGGAGGCAGCAGUGGGGAAUUUUGGACAAUGGGGGAAACCCUGAUCCAGCAAUGCCGCGUGAGUGAAGAAGGCCUUCGGGUUGUAAAGCUCUUUUGUCAGGGAAGAAACACCGGCUCUAACACAGUCCGGGAAUGACGGUACCUGAAGAAUAAGCACCGGCUAACUACGUGCCAGCAGCCGCGGUAAUACGUAGGGUGCAAGCGUUAAUCGGAAUUACUGGGCGUAAAGCGUGCGCAGGCGGUUAUACAAGACAGGCGUGAAAUCCCCGGGCUUAACCUGGGAAUGGCGCCUGUGACUGUAUAGCUAGAGUGUGUCAGAGGGGGGUAGAAUUCCACGUGUAGCCGUGAAAUGC
rnacentral:rRNA from 1 species